rnacentral:rRNA from 1 species
AUUGAACGCUGGCGGCGUGCCUAACACAUGCAAGUCGAGCGGUAACAGGUGUAGCAAUACAUGCUGACGAGCGGCGGACGGGUGAGUAACGCUUGGGAAUCUGCCUGUUAGUGGGGGACAACCCGGGGAAACUCGGGCUAAUACCGCAUACGCACUACGGUGGAAAGCCGGGGACCGCAAGGCCUGGCGCUAACAGAUGAGCCCAAGUCGGAUUAGCUAGUUGGUAGGAACGGCCUACCAAGGCGACGAUCCGUAACUGGUCUGAGAGGACGACCAGUCACACCGGAACUGAGACACGGUCCGGACUCCUACGGGAGGCAGCAGUGGGGAAUAUUGGACAAUGGGCGAAAGCCUGAUCCAGCGACGCCGCGUGGGUGAAGAAGGCCUGCGGGUUGUAAAGCCCUUCGGUGGGGAAGAAAGCCUCGAGUUAAUACCUCGGGGUCUUGACGUAACCCAUAGAAGAAGCACCGGCUAACUCUGUGCC